GACGUAGGGCGCGAGCGUUGUCCGGAUUUAUUGGGCGUAAAGAGCUCGUAGGCGGCUUGUCGCGUCGUUCGUGAAAACCUGCAGCUCAACUGCAGGCUUGCGGUCGAUACGGGCAGGCUGGAGUUCGGUAGGGGAGACUGGAAUUCCUGGUGUAGCGGUGAAAUGCGCAGAUAUCAGGAGGAACACCAAUGGCGAAGGCAGCUCGCUGGGACGAACACUGACGGCUGAUGAACGGAAAGCCAGGGGAGCAAACGGG
rnacentral:rRNA from 1 species